rnacentral:rRNA from 1 species
CCUGGUAGUCCACGCUGUAAACGAUGUCGACUUGGAGGUUGUUCCCUUGAGGAGUGGCUUCCGGAGCUAACGCGUUAAGUCGACCGCCUGGGGAGUACGGCCGCAAGGUUAAAACUCAAAUGAAUUGACGGGGGCCCGCACAAGCGGUGGAGCAUGUGGUUUAAUUCGAUGCAACGCGAAGAACCUUACCUACUCUUGACAUCCAGAGAACUUAGCAGAGAUGCUUUGGUGCCUUCGGGAACUCUGAGACAGGUGCUGCAUGGCUGUCGUCAGCUCGUGUUGUGAAAUGUUGGGUUAAGUCCCGCAACGAGCGCAACCCUUAUCCUUUGUUGCCAGCGGUCCGGCCGGGAACUCAAAGGAGACUGCCAGUGAUAAACUGGAGGAAGGUGGGGAUGACGUCAAGUCAUCAUGGCCCUUACGAGUAGGGCUACACACGUGCUACAAUGGCAUAUACAAAGAGAAGCGACCUCGCGAGAGCAAGCGGACCUCAUAAAGUAUGUCGUAGUCCGGAUUGGAGUCUGCAACUCGACUCCAUGAAGUCGGAAUCGCUAGUAAUCGUGGAUCAGAAUGCCACGGUGAAUACGUUCCCGGGCCUUGUACACACCGCCCGUCACACCAUGGGAGUGGGUUGCAAAAGAAGUAGGUAGCUUAACCUUCGGGAGGGCGCUUACCACUUUGUGAUUCAUGACUGGGGUGAANUC